rnacentral:rRNA from 1 species
GAUGAACGCUAGCGGCAGGCCUAAUACAUGCAAGUCGAACGGUGUCUUCGGACAUAGUGGCGCACGGGUGCGUAACACGUAUGCAACCUACCUUACAUUGGGGGAUAGCCUUUCGAAAGGGAGAUUAAUACCGCAUAAGACAGUAGCUGGGCAUCCAGCAGCUGUUAAAGAUUUAUCGAUGUAAGCUGGGCAUGCGUCCAAUUAGCUAGUUGGUGAGGUAACGGCUCACCAAGGCAAGGAUUGGUAGGGGAACUGAGAGGUCAAUCCCCCACACUGGCACUGAGAUACGGGCCAGACUCCUCCGGGAGGCAGCAGUAGGGAAGAUUGGGCAAUGGACGCAAGUCUGACCCAGCCAUGCCGCGUGCAGGAUGAAGGCGUUAUGCGUUGUAAACUGCUUUUAUACAGGAAGAAACGACUCUUGCGAGAGGCAUUGACGGUACUGUAUGAAUAAGCACCGGCUAACUCCGUGCCAGCCGCCGCAGUAACAC